rnacentral:rRNA from 2 species
CGGCGUGCCUAAUACAUGCAAGUCGAACGAACUCUGGUAUUGAUUGGUGCUUGCAUCAUGAUUUACAUUUGAGUGAGUGGCGAACUGGUGAGUAACACGUGGGAAACCUGCCCAGAAGCGGGGGAUAACACCUGGAAACAGAUGCUAAUACCGCAUAACAACUUGGACCGCAUGGUCCGAGUUUGAAAGAUGGCUUCGGCUAUCACUUUUGGAUGGUCCCGCGGCGUAUUAGCUAGAUGGUGGGGUAACGGCUCACCAUGGCAAUGAUACGUAGCCGACCUGAGAGGGUAAUCGGCCACAUUGGGACUGAGACACGGCCCAAACUCCUACGGGAGGCAGCAGUAGGGAAUCUUCCACAAUGGACGAAAGUCUGAUGGAGCAACGCCGCGUGAGUGAAGAAGGGUUUCGGCUCGUAAAACUCUGUUGUUAAAGAAGAACAUAUCUGAGAGUAACUGUUCAGGUAUUGACGGUAUUUAACCAGAAAGCCACGGCUAACUACGUGCCAGCAGCCGCGGUAAUACGUAGGUGGCAAGCGUUGUCCGGAUUUAUUGGGCGUAAAGCGAGCGCAGGCGGUUUUUUAAGUCUGAUGUGAAAGCCUUCGGCUCAACCGAAGAAGUGCAUCGGAAACUGGGAAACUUGAGUGCAGAAGAGGACAGUGGAACUCCAUGUGUAGCGGUGAAAUGCGUAGAUAUAUGGAAGAACACCAGUGGCGAAGGCGGCUGUCUGGUCUGUAACUGACGCUGAGGCUCGAAAGUAUGGGUAGCAAACAGGAUUAGAUACCCUGGUAGUCCAUACCGUAAACGAUGAAUGCUAAGUGUUGGAGGGUUUCCGCCCUUCAGUGCUGCAGCUAACGCAUUAAGCAUUCCGCCUGGGGAGUACGGCCGCAAGGCUGAAACUCAAAGGAAUUGACGGGGGCCCGCACAAGCGGUGGAGCAUGUGGUUUAAUUCGAAGCUACGCGAAGAACCUUACCAGGUCUUGACAUACUAUGCAAAUCUAAGAGAUUAGACGUUCCCUUCGGGGACAUGGAUACAGGUGGUGCAUGGUUGUCGUCAGCUCGUGUCGUGAGAUGUUGGGUUAAGUCCCGCAACGAGCGCAACCCUUAUUAUCAGUUGCCAGCAUUAAGUUGGGCACUCUGGUGAGACUGCCGGUGACAAACCGGAGGAAGGUGGGGAUGACGUCAAAUCAUCAUGCCCCUUAUGACCUGGGCUACACACGUGCUACAAUGGAUGGUACAACGAGUUGCGAACUCGCGAGAGUAAGCUAAUCUCUUAAAGCCAUUCUCAGUUCGGAUUGUAGGCUGCAACUCGCCUACAUGAAGUCGGAAUCGCUAGUAAUCGCGGAUCAGCAUGCCGCGGUGAAUACGUUCCCGGGCCUUGUACACACCGCCCGUCACACCAUGAGAGUUUGUAACACCCAAAGUCGGUGGGGUAACCUUUUAGGAACCAGCCGCCUAAGGUGGGACAGAUGA